AGAGUUUGAUCCUGGCUCAGGACGAACGCUGGCGGCGCGCCUAACACAUGCAAGUCGAACGAGCGAGAGAGAGCUUGCUUUCUCGAGCGAGUGGCGAACGGGUGAGUAACGCGUGAGGAACCUGCCUCAAAGAGGGGGACAACAGUUGGAAACGACUGCUAAUACCGCAUAAGCCCACAGGUCGGCAUCGACCAGAGGGAAAAGGAGCAAUCCGCUUUGAGAUGGCCUCGCGUCCGAUUAGCUGGUUGGUGAGGUAAUGGCCCACCAAGGCGACGAUCGGUAGCCGGACUGAGAGGUUGAACGGCCACAUUGGGACUGAGACACGGCCCAGACUCCUACGGGAGGCAGCAGUGGGGAAUAUUGCACAAUGGGGGAAACCCUGAUGCAGCGACGCCGCGUGGAGGAAGAAGGUCUUCGGAUUGUAAACUCCUGUUGUUGAGGAAGAUAAUGACGGUACUCAACAAGGAAGUGACGGCUAACUACGUGCCAGCAGCCGCGGUAAAACGUAGGUCACAAGCGUUGUCCGGAAUUACUGGGUGUAAAGGGAGCGCAGGCGGGAAGACAAGUUGGAAGUGAAAUCUAUGGGCUCAACCCAUAAACUGCUUUCAAAACUGUUUUUCUUGAGUAGUGCAGAGGUAGGCGGAAUUCCCCGGUGUAGCGGUGGAAUGCGUAGAUAUCGGGAGGAACACCAGUGGCGAAGGCCGGCUACUGGGCACCAACUGACGCUGAGGCUCGAAAGUGUGGGUAGCAAACAGGAUUAGAUACCCUGGUAGUCCACACCGUAAACGAUGAUUACUAGGUGUUGGAGGAUUGACCCCUUCAGUGCCGCAGUUAACACAAUAAGUAAUCCACCUGGGGAGUACGACCGCAAGGUUGAAACUCAAAGGAAUUGACGGGGGCCCGCACAAGCAGUGGAGUAUGUGGUUUAAUUCGACGCAACGCGAAGAACCUUACCAAGUCUUGACAUCCCUUGACGAACAUAGAAAUAUGUUUUCUCUUCGGAGCAAGGAGACAGGUGGUGCAUGGUUGUCGUCAGCUCGUGUCGUGAGAUGUUGGGUUAAGUCCCGCAACGAGCGCAACCCUUACUGUCAGUUACUACGCAAGAGGACUCUGGCAGGACUGCCGUUGGCAAAACGGAGGAAGGUGGGGAUGACGUCAAAUCAUCAUGCCCUUUAUGACUUGGGCUACACACGUACUACAAUGGCGUUAAACAAAGAGAAGCAAGACCGCGAGGUGGAGCAAAACUCAGAAACAACGUCCCAGUUCGGACUGCAGGCUGCAACUCGCCUGCACGAAGUCGGAAUUGCUAGUAAUCGUGGAUCAGCAUGCCACGGUGAAUACGUUCCCGGGCCUUGUACACACCGCCCGUCAA
rnacentral:rRNA from 1 species